GACGAACGCUGGCGGCGUGCCUAACACAUGCAAGUCGAACGAGGUCCAAGGAAGCUUGCUUCCUGACGACCUAGUGGCGAACGGGUGAGUAACACGUGAGAAACCUGCCUCGGAGUGGGGGAUAACUCGGGGAAACUCGAGCUAAUACCGCAUGUCUUCACAUGAUCGCAUGGUCGAGUGAAGAAAGAAUUUCGCACUGAGAGGGUCUCGCGGCCUAUCAGCUUGUUGGUGGGGUAACGGCCCACCAAGGCAACGACGGGUAGCUGGUUUGAGAGAACGAUCAGCCACACUGGGACUGAGACACGGCCCAGACUCCUACGGGAGGCAGCAGUGGGGAAUCUUGCGCAAUGGGCGAAAGCCUGACGCAGCAACGCCGCGUGCGGGAUGACGGCCUUCGUGGUUGUAAACCGCUUUCAGCAGGGACGAAAAUGACGGUACCUGCAGAAGAAGCCCCGGCUAACUACGUGCCAGCAGCCGCGGUAACAC
rnacentral:rRNA from 1 species